rnacentral:rRNA from 1 species
ACGGAGGGUGCAAGCGUUGUUCGGAAUUACUGGGCGUAAAGGGCGCGUAGGCGGUUGUGUUAGUCAGAUGUGCAAUACUUCAGCUCAACUGUAGAAUUGCCUUUGAUACUUCCUGACUAGAGUACAGGAGAGGGAAAUGGAAUUCCCGGUGUAGAGGUGAAAGGCGUAGAUAGCGGGAGGAACACCAGUGGCGAAGGCGAAAAACUGGAAAGAAACUGACGCUGAGGAGCGAAAGCGAGGGGAGAAAAAAG